rnacentral:lncRNA from 1 species
UGGUUGGAUGCUGCUGAAGUGCUGGUUCUGAAAGCAGUGCAUACUCCUGUGCUUCUCUUGGCAGCAUGAUUGCUCUGAUUUUGCAAACUAGCUAAGUCAUUAACACUGAUCCUGCUUUUCUGAUUGCUGUUUAAUGCUUAUCUUCAAGGAAACUAUGGCAAAGCUGGAGAGGUUGUGACCAAAGUAAGUAAAAAAGGAGAGAAGGGAGAAGGGAGAGAAGAAAAACAGCCUUUGCUGGAUGCUGGUUCGGAUAGUGAGCUGGAUGUGGAGGUCCUGGCCCCAGAUUCAGCCCCACUGAACAAGUCGAUGACAAGGAGCCAGAGACCAGAGCCCACAGAAUACGACAGCAUGGGAUGAGAGUGACUGCAUCCUGCUGAUUUGUAGUGAAAACCAGGGAGGAUCACAAAUUUCUUGGGGAGACCCACAGAGCUGUACUGCAGAGCUGAGUUUCAGAAGCAUGUGCCCAGUGUUUGGCCCCAUCACUUGCUUUGGGCUCUUCAAAGUGCUGUGCAGCUACCA